CCUACGGGAGGCAGCAGUGAGGAAUAUUGGUCAAUGGCCGGAAGGCUGAACCAGCCAAGCCGCGUGAAGGACGAAGGUGCCAAGCAUUGUAAACUUCUUUUGUCAAGGGACAAAAUCAGGCUCGAGAGCCUGACCGAGGGUACUUGAAGAAAAAGCAUCGGCUAACUCCGUGCCAGCAGCCGCGGUAAUACGGAGGAUGCGAGCGUUAUCCGGCUUUAUUGGGGUUAAAGGGUGCGCAGGCGGACUGUUAAGUCAGCGGUAAAAGCCCGGGGCUCAACCCCGGCGAGCCGUUGAAAAUGGCGGUCUUGAGAUGUCGAGAGGUAUGCGGAAUGCGCGGUGUAGCGGUGAAAUGCUUAGAUAUUGCGCAGAACUCCGAUUGCGAAGGCAGCAUACCGGCGGCGAUCUGACGCUGAGGCACGAAAGCGUGGGUAUCGAACAGGAUUAGAUACCCCAGUAGUC
rnacentral:rRNA from 1 species